GGCUGGUCUGAAGGUAGUGAGUUAUCUCAACUGAUUUUUCACAGUCAGUUACAGAUCGAACUCCUUGUUCUAUCCUUUCCCGCUUCUCACUACUGUACUUGACUAGUCUUGA
ensembl:Y_RNA Y_RNA Y RNA